rnacentral:rRNA from 1 species
GAUGAACGCUGGCGGCGUGCCUAAUACAUGCAAGUCGAGCGAACAGAUGAGGAGCUUUCUCCUCUGACGUUAGCGGCGGACGGGUGAUUAACACGUGUAUAACCUACCUAUAAUACUUGGAUAACUUCGUGAAACCGGAUCUAAUACCGGAUAAUAUAUUGAACCGCAUUGUUCAUUAGUUUAUUACGGUUUUUCUGUCUCUUUUAGCUUUUUCCUCGCCGCAUUAGCUAGUUGGUAAGGUAACGGCUUACCAAGGCAACGAUGCGUAGCCGAACUGAUAGGGUGAACGGAGACACUGGAAGUGAGAAACGGACAAGAGAACUAAGGGAGGCAGAAGUAGGGAAUGUGACGCAAUGGGCGAAAGCAUGACGGAGAAAAGCCGAGUGAGUGAUGAAGGUGUUAGGAUCGUAAAACUAUGUUAUUAGGGAAGAAAAAAAGUGUAAGUAAAUAUGCACGGAGUGACGGUACCUAAACAGAAAGAAACGGCUAACUACGUG